GGUGCGCCACUGACCGCUCCGCGAGCCGGCGGGAGAAGAUUAGGGCUCCCGAGGUUACUUGCUCGGGGCUCAGGCCGCUCUCCCCCGACGCUCGGGCUGCUCGGCCUAUCUGGCUUUCGGCCUCCCUCUCGUCCUCCUUCUGCCCCCUCCCUUGCUCCUUCCCGGCCGCGCCGCCUGCGCCCUCGCCUCCUGUCGCGCUGCUCCUCCGCCCUGCGCUCCUGGGUCCCCGCAGUCCGGCUGGCUGUGUUGCGCGCGGGGCUCACUUUUUCGCCGCCGGUGGCGAGUGGCUGGUGGGUAGGUCUUCCUGAUGACGAGGUCCCUCCCGGGCUUUAGGAAAAUGGGCGACUUGGAACAGGCUGGUUGGCUCGCGCUUUGGCGCACAGCUCCGGGCCUGGUUGGGCUUGGCUGCCGGGUCGGGUGAGUUCCCGAACUGGCUGCGCGUGGCGCGCUGGAAGCUACCUAAGGGAAGAAGAACCGGUCAUGGGAUGAAUAGACCCAGAGGAAUUGUUUGCUGCUGCUACCCCACUACCCCGUUCCCCUCGACCUCAGAGCUCCAAAAACCUGGGUUGGGGGAAAAGGGACGUUUCUUGCCUAAGCGGAGAAUCAGGCUGGAAUCGCACAGGUAAAACCUAGUUGACUCCGCGGACUGCCCUCUCUUUCCGACCCUCAAGGUCGGCUUUGCAGUUUAACUCUAGAAUUAGAAGGCGCACUAACCCGAAGCCUAAGUGCGAAGUGAUCUUCCAGUCGUUUAAAGUUUGCAAAGCGAUUAUGGCCUGUCCAGUUCUUCUGUCUGAUGGUCUCCUGCCCUUUGUUUUUAAGCAAACGUGUGCAAUUAGCUGGUGGUGUUAGAUAAUUGUAAGGACUAGUCUCCAGGUCCCUCUAGAGAUUUUAAAAAUGCGCCAGUCCAAGGGCGUGAGUAGGGAGGGGUCUAACGCAGAAGAACUGCGAAAUACCUAUUUCACUUCACCUGGGGUGUUUUAUCUGAUCAUUUUCUCUUGGGAAACAACCUGAAGAAGAAUGUUGGCUGCAACUCACCGGUAAUUCUUUUCAAUAAUUUCAUACAUGUUCCCGUCAGCUCUUACUGUCUCCCAAAAACAAAGUCUCAGGAAGGCCACGAAGAAUCCCUCCCCCUCUCCCCGCACUAAUCCAAAAGCUUCUAAAUAGCUAUUCCUUAUCUAUUGUGACUGCCAGUUUUAUCUGAAAAGGCCCUCAUACCCACGCUGUAAUAGGUUUAAUUUCGGUGUCUCAUUGCCUUGAGAAAACCCGGUGUGUUAGGAAACUCCUUUCUUUGUAUCAUUUGCCAGAUCUAGUCCUUGAUAAGAGCUGUGAGCUCUCUGCCGGCCUCAGUGGGUCGGUUUACAGGGAUAUGCUUCUCCAGAGCGCCAGGAGAAGCUAAGAUGUGUGAAUUUCCUCUUGAUCUAGCUGGGUCUUUACCGAGAACUGGCAUUUGUUUUGUCUUCUCUAAAGGAAAAUUUCGAAGUGGGUCUCAUCCCUUCUAUUUUUAUUGUAACUUAUAUCGGAGUGCGUGUGCGAAAUCGAAAUUUAGACAUGUUGAUAAAUUUACCAGAUGAGGGGAAGGCAGAGGGUGUUUUUGUUUUUUUGGUCAUAAGUUCUAGUCUCUGGUGUUAUGUGCGUGGAGCCUUUUGUCAGGCUGCUUUUGCAAAAUUGAUGCUGAUAAUGACAAUACAAAGCACAUCUUCCCAGUUGUACGGAUUUUUCCUGUAUAGGUAACCAAGUUGACGCUAGUUCUUCUUUUUUUUAAGGUACUAUAAUGCCAGAAAGUAAAUACAGGAUUUUAACCAAUCAUUUUCCGUCAUGCCACCUUUUAUAACAUGGAAUUAAACAACGGAAGCUGCCAGAAGCCUGAUGACUUAACACUUGAGAUCAGAAAGCAGCCUCAGGAUCCAUCCUCCUUCAAACCAGCCACAUACAGUGUGGUAUUUUAACUCCCUAAACUAAUUAUUUGGCUCUUCUAAAGAGUUAUUGCUGCUGAUGAUAGAAAAUCCAAAUAGAAAAAACUGGCAUGUGGCUUGGAGGGAAACCAUUAGUAAUAGGUAGUUUCAUCAUAAUGGUGAGACAACAUGUUUUCCUUUUUUUCAGCCCAUAGUGUUACUGUAAACAAGUGUUUUCUUAAUAAGUCUCUAAACUGAUAGAGGUGAAGAUCAUGCAGAAGAUACCCCCCUGGCAAAGGAAAAAAUUGGAGGGAACCCAAUAGUUAGGUUGUUCCUCACUGUAGGUGCUCUGGAGUUCUGUAUGUCUAUUGCUAAUACAUUUUGUAUAAAAAUCAAAGGAUAGCAGGCAUUAUUGUUUCACUUUACCCUGAAGUUCAAAUGUGAUCACAGAUAAUUCCCCCGUUUCUUUAAAAGAUUUCUAUACACUCAUUUAAUACAUCAAAUAUAUCUGUAAAAAUUGUGUAAAUGUUUUUAUAGCAUAUAUCAAACUGUGAUUAGUAAUAUCCCCCCAUUUGAUCACAGGAGCGACCUCUUGUGUUCAAAGGGGGGAUUAAACCGUCUAGUCAAAAAUGGACUCAAUUUUGACCUUUAUAAUUUCUAUUAGGUCAAAAAAAUCUAUUUUUCAAAACAGCAGUUGUGUGAAUCCCCUGUGGUGAACUCCUACUGAUGAAAGAAAAGGAAGAAUAUGACUAGUUAUUAAGUAUAGUUCCCAUUGCCUCCAGGGCACCCCCAAUAUAUGUAGUGUCUUUAAAAGGAUGCAGAGAUUUAAUUUCCUCUUGAGUCUUGUAGCGUUUGCCCAAAUGUGCUUAUACACACCUUCCAAAAUGCGGGCUUUACACCCAGAGUUACUAGUGGGCUCUUAUGCCUGUGUUUUGUGUGUUGUUGCUUUUUUUCUCUGCUUUGAUUAAAAUUUAAACGUUCCACGUCAAACUUAAUGCCAAAUAGAGAUUCCUGAACAAAUAUCAUGUUCUCAAGCUACAGUUCAAAUAUCUAAAUAGAUUUUAAUUGCAAUUGACAAGCAGUUUACACAUUUAGGGUCUCUUUAGUUCCCAAUAAGUUCUGGCAGAUAUAAGUGGAUUUUAAGUUGGUUCUUUGGGAAAUUAUGUACAGUAAGGAGAAAGCUUUUUCCUCCCCAGCUAACCAAGAUUGGGAAGGAAAGGCGGCUUUGAUCAGCUCUCCCUCCACUGUAGAUUUGUUUGGGAACUUAUUCCCAGGGAGGUGAUGCUCUCUAAGAUAGCCCAUGUCAGGGCUAUGAGAACAACAAUUGGAAUGCCACUUUCUACAUGUAAGGUGUUCAGAAAGGAAAAAAAAUAUAACAGUUAUAUUUUCUGGUAUCCACAAAUAUGUAAUAUUGGAGGUCAAAAUGAAACUUUUUAUUCACCUCAGAAAAUAGGUAUGGAAUGUAUGUGUGUAAAUAUAUAUAUAUAUAUGUAUAUAUCCCAUACCCCUCACAUUUUGUUUUUACUUUUCCUUGUAGUCUGAUCAUGUAAAAGAAGGCUAUUCAAACCAUCAGUAUCUUAAAUCACAUCAGGGGUCAGAUAAAAUUAUAUAUGGGUAUAAAGAAGGUUAGGAUUAACCAUUUAUACUCCACCCAGAACAGGAUGUGGAUAUUCAGAGCUAAUUUGCCUCUCUUCCAGUUGCUGGUGGUGGCUUAAUGAAGAUGAAUCAAGAGAACCCUGCACUCUAAUUUCAGGGAAAAGUUGAAGGGAUCUUCUUUAUGUACCAUUGGGUAUGAAAUUAUUAUCUCUUUCCCGUCUUCUCCUUUUACUUGCUCUCCCCCCCCCCCAUAAUACUAAGCAAUGAUAAUAAAGGCAGUUAUUAACAACAG
rnacentral:lncRNA from 1 species